GUCAGUUUGGCUGAGCGGUCUAAGGUGCUGCGUUCAGAUCACAGUCUCCUCUCGAGGCUUGGGUUUGAAUCCCACUUCUGACA